rnacentral:tRNA from 1 species
GGAGUUAGCUCAGUGGUAGAGCGCUUGCCUAGCAAGCGCAAGGCCCUGGGUUCGGUCCCCAGCUCUG